AGGUGCUUAGUGCUUGCAUGUAAUUAUAAUAUUAUUAAGCUAUUUGAGAUAAUAGCAUGUCAACAAAGGAGUUAUUCAUUAAUAAAUUAAAAAUAAUAUGUCUAGUGUUGCAUUAUAAAAUAGAUAAAUAAGGGAUGUAAUUUUUUUUUUAAUAAAAUGAUUGAAAGGAUGUAAUUGAUUUGGUAUUUAAUGGACUUUUACCUUGAUUGGCAUAUGGUUCUU
rnacentral:misc_RNA from 1 species